rnacentral:rRNA from 1 species
AGUGAACGCUGGCGGUAGGCCUAACACAUGCAAGUCGAACGGCAGCACAGUAAGAGCUUGCUCUUACGGGUGGCGAGUGGCGGACGGGUGAGGAAUACAUCGGAAUCUACUUUUUCGUGGGGGAUAACGUAGGGAAACUUACGCUAAUACCGCAUACGACCUACGGGUGAAAGCAGGGGAUCUUCGGACCUUGCGCGAUUGAAUGAGCCGAUGUCGGAUUAGCUAGUUGGCGGGGUAAAGGCCCACCAAGGCGACGAUCCGUAGCUGGUCUGAGAGGAUGAUCAGCCACAAUGGAACUGAGACACGGUCCAGACUCCCACGGGAGGCAGCAGUGGGGAAUAUUGGACAAUGGGCGCAAGCCUGAUCCAGCCAUACCGCGUGGGUGAAGAAGGCCUUCGGGUUGUAAAGCCCUUUUGUUGGGAAAGAAAAGCAGCAGGUUAAUACCCCGCUGUUCUGACGGUACCCAAAGAAUAAGCACCGGCUAACUUCGUG